CAGUCGCCGCGGGAAAACGUAGGUGGCAAGCGUUGUCCGGAAUUAUUGGGCGUAAAGGGCUCGCAGGCGGUUUCUUAAGUCUGAUGUGAAAGCCCCCGGCUCAACCGGGGAGGGUCAUUGGAAACUGGGAAACUUGAGUGCAGAAGAGGAGAGUGGAAUUACACGUGUAGCGGUGAAAUGCGUAGAGAUGUGGAGGAACACCAGUGGCGAAGGCGACUCUCUGGUCUGUAACUGACGCUGAGGAGCGAAAGCGUGGGGAGCGAACAGGAUUAGAUACCCGCGUAGUCCCUGUCUCUUAUAC
rnacentral:rRNA from 1 species